UUGGCUCAGAACGAACGCUGGCGGCAUGCCUAACACAUGCAAGUCGAACGAGGCCCUUCGGGGUUUAGUGGCGCACGGGUGCGUAACGCGUGGGAAUCUGCCCUUUGGUUCGGAAUAACAGCUGGAAACGGCUGCUAAUACCGGAUGAUGACGAAAGUCCAAAGAUUUAUCGCCAGAGGAUGAGCCCGCGUUGGAUUAGGUAGUUGGUGGGGUAAAGGCCUACCAAGCCGACGAUCCAUAGCUGGUCUGAGAGGAUGAUCAGCCACACUGGGACUGAGACACGGCCCAGACUCCUACGGGAGGCAGCAGUGGGGAAUAUUGGACAAUGGGCGCAAGCCUGAUCCAGCAAUGCCGCGUGAGUGAUGAAGGCCCUAGGGUUGUAAAGCUCUUUUACCCGGGAAGAUAAUGACUGUACCGGGAGAAUAAGCCCCGGCUAACUCCGUG
rnacentral:rRNA from 1 species